rnacentral:rRNA from 1 species
AGAUAAUACCUGAUAGAGGAUAAAUACUGGAAGGUUUUAUUCUUCAAAGCUUCGGCACCUGAGGAUGGGACUGCGUCGGAUUAGCUUGUUGUCGGGAUAAUUACCCGACAAGGCGAUAAUCCGUACGGGUUGUGAGAGCAAUAGCCCGGAGAUGGAUUCUGAGACAUGAAUCCAGGUCCUACGGGACGCAGCAGGCGCGAAACCUUCACAAUGCCUGAAAGGGUGAUGAGGGAACUCUGAGUGACUUCGCAAUGCGAAGUCUUUUGCCAAGUGCAAAAAGCUCGGUGAAUAAGUGGUGGGCAAGACAGUUGCCAGCCGCCGCGGUAAUAACUGCGCCACGAGUGGUGAUCUCGUUUAUUGGGCUUAAAGCGUUCGUAGCCGGUUUUAUAAGCAUCUGGUGAAAUCCGAUAGUAAACUAUUGGGCUGGCUAGGUGUACUGUAAGACUAGGGACCGGUAGGGGCCGGGAGUACUCCUAGGGUAGGGGUUAAAUCCUUUAAUCCUAGGGGGACUACCAGUGGCGAAGGCGCCCGGCUAGAACGGGUCCGACGGUGAGGGACGAAAGCUGGGGGAGCGAUCCGGAUUAGAUACCCGGGUAGUCCCAGCUGUAAACGAUGCCCGCUUGGUGUGGUGAAACUUUCGUGGUUUUGCCGUACCGUAGCGAAAGUGUUAAGCGGGCCGCCUGGGAAGUACGACCGCAAG